rnacentral:rRNA from 1 species
AUUGAACGCUGGCGGCAGGCCUAACACAUGCAAGUCGAACGAGUGGCGGACGGGUGAGUAAUGUCUGGGAAACUGCCUGAUGGAGGGGGAUAACUACUGGAAACGGUAGCUAAUACAGCAUACCAUCGGAUGUGCCCAAAUGGGAUUAGCUAGUAGGUGGGGGAAAGGCUCACCUAGGCGACGAUCCCUAGCUGUGUUGAGAGGCUGACGAGCCACACUGGAACGUAGCCACGGUCCAGAUUCCUACGGGAGGCAGAAGUGGGGAAUAUUGCACAAUGGGCGCAAUCCUGAUGCCUCCAUGCCGCGUGUAUGAAGAAGGCCUUCGGGUUGUAAAGUACUUUCAGCGGGGAGGCGUUACCCGCAGAAGAAGCACCGGCUAACUCCGUGCCAGCAGCCGCGGUAAUAC